rnacentral:rRNA from 1 species
GACGAACGCUGGCGGCGUGCUUAACACAUGCAAGUCGAACGGAAAGGCCCUGCUUUUGUGGGGUGCUCGAGUGGCGAACGGGUGAGUAACACGUGAGUAACCUGCCCUUGACUUUGGGAUAACUUCAGGAAACUGGGGCUAAUACCGUAUAGGAUCUCCUGCUGCAUGGUGGGGGUUGGAAAGUUUCGGCGGUUGGGGAUGGACUCGCGGCUUAUCAGCUUGUUGGUGGGGUAGUGGCUUACCAAGGCUUUGACGGGUAGCCGGCCUGAGAGGGUGACCGGCCACAUUGGGACUGAGAUACGGCCCAGACUCCUACGGGAGGCAGCAGUGGGGAAUAUUGCACAAUGGGAGGAAGCCUGAUGCAGCAACGCCGCGUGCGGGAUGACGGCCUUCGGGUUGUAAACCGCUUUCGCCUGUGACGAAGCGUGAGUGACGGUAAUGGGUAAAGAAGCACCGGCUAACUACGUG